rnacentral:rRNA from 1 species
AACGAACGCUGGCGGCAGGCCUAACACAUGCAAGUCGAGCGCCCUUUCGGGGGAGCGGCGGACGGGUGAGUAACGCGUGGGAAUAUGCCCUUCUCUACGGAAUAGCCUCGGGAAACUGAGAGUAAUACCGUAUACGCCCUGUGGGGGAAAGAUUUAUCGGGGAAGGAUUAGCCCGCGUUGGAUUUGGUAGUUGGUGGGGUAAUGGCCUACCAAGCCGACGAUCCAUAGCUGGUUUGAGAGGAUGAUCAGCCACACUGGGACUGAGACACGGCCCAGACUCCUACGGGAGGCAGCAGUGGGGAAUCUUAGACAAUGGGGGCAACCCUGAUCUAGCCAUGCCGCGUGAGUGAUGAAGGCCUUAGGGUUGUAAAGCUCUUUCAGCUGGGAAGAUAAUGACGGUACCAGCAGAAGAAGCCCCGGCUAACUCCGUG